GCUGGAUGCGUUUAUAUUUUUCAUACUUUUCAAAAAAUAGUCAUCUUGUUGACCUGCUAGGACUGGGAAUAGCUAAGCAAACAAAUGAAAGAGAGAGCUUUACUCUGACUGCUAGACUAAGUAAACAUGACAAGGAAAUCACUGGGGGAGGCUCAUACAUAUGCACUGUCAAGGUGCCAUCUUGACAAAGUGUCUUUUUCCACUAUAGUUGCACGUUUUAUACUGUCAGCAGGAUUUAGAAGUGAAAUACACGUAUUUCAUUGUCAGAAUUAAAAUGAAAGCUUUAAAAUCCUCCUCUGUAACAUUUUUUCAACAAGGUAUUAAGUAAAAAUGCUGUUAACGCAAAAAGAGAAAAUGUGAAGCAAAAGGUCAAUGUGACAGGCUUAAAGAAGUGCUGCUGAUGACUCAUUAAAGCUAACUACAGUGAAGAUUUUAAACAUUGCCUUUCCUUCCAGCGAUAACAUGCAGUCUCUCCAACAAGAAAUCAAAGCACUGAAGUCUUGGCAGGAGAUAAGUAGGGCCUUAAGUGAUGCACAAACCAUCUGUCUUGUUUCUACCACCAUACAAUUAUACCAACAAGAAGAAAAGCAGAUUUGGGUUAUGACUGCUUUACUCCACACUGCAGUGAUUUUAGGUCCACAGCUGCAAGGAACUAUUACAUAAUAAUAAUAAAAAAAGGAAAUCAGGAAGCA
rnacentral:lncRNA from 1 species